rnacentral:lncRNA from 10 species
GUAGCUCUGGGAUUUGCUGCAUGUUGCUGGCCCUGAGUUUUGGAGAGAAGCCCUGAUAAGACUAAGAGGGAUGCUGAUAACCUGGAGGGACAUUGAUGACAGAAAAUCCUCUCCAGUCAAGUAAUUGCAUCCAUUUCAUCUUCCCAGCCCUCCUCUAGAUGGGAGGUGGAGGUGUGUGUACCAAUCUCUUAAUUCAGAAAUGAGACAAGAGGAGGAAAAAGGAGUUCCGGAGACUUUGAGUAAAGCUGAUCACCUUACGUAAUGUGAGUGGGUCUCGUCCAAUCAACUGAAGGCUUUAAGAGCAAAGACAAAGGUUUUUCAAAGAGAAAAAGAAGACUCUCCUCAAGACUGUGACAUAGAAACUCUGCCUGAAUUUCUAGCCUGCUGCCCUGCAGAAUUUAGAGUCAAGCCUACAACAUAACUCUUACCUGAAUUCUCAGGCUGCUGACUUACCCUGCAGAUUUUGGACUUGCCAGCCCCUCACAAUCCCAUGAGCCAAUUCCUUAAAAUAAAUCUCUCUUUUUCCCUCUGUA